GAAUUAUAUAUGUAUGCUUAAAAUGAAUUGCUGGUAGCAUCAUAAAGUUUCCCAGGUUGUCCUUCAUACCGAUAAAGUUUAGGUAACCAUUUCUUAAGCUAUGAAAUGUUCUAAGACAAUAAUACCAAGAACAUGUUGGUAAGCAUAACUGUAAUAAAAACAUGAAUUGGAAGUGGGCCUAAUUGAGCAACUAUCAAAAAUUUAGUGGGAGACACAUGUAGCUACAACUAAGUUGGAGAAGUAUUAUCCGGCUCAAUUUCCAAAGUGCAACCAGGUAAAAAGCAUUUGGCACCGGCACCGUGCAAAUAUUUAAAAUGAGAAAGGACAUAGAGCUAUCAAAUAGGGACGCUUCUAUGCCAUUCUCUGUUUCAUACAAAUAGUGGAAAAUAACUUCAGGAACUUACCCACUUUAAAACAACACUAUUGUGCUUUGUUUGUUUUGAUUGCUUGUAUUUUGAUUUUUUAAUAAACACAGACAAAAGUUUGCAUCCACUUCCACCAUCCUACAUAAAUACAAAAAGUGUAUGUUUUACAAAAAUGAAAUUUACUUUAGUUUAACAUAGCAAAUUAAAGAGCUAAAGAUGUGGACUCUUGUAAACAAAAACAUAGAGAAUCCUUUAUUAUCAUCAGUGAACUAACCAUGACCCAUUGUCCGAAGGGUACUGAUAUUAGAAUUAUUAAUUCAUAAAUUCUCGCAAAAACAAAAAGACUAUAACGUAUGUAGAUUGGUGGCCCAGCAGCAUACUACAAACAGGGUUUAGAUUGCACUCAAACAAUCUUGGUAAAAAGUACUAUUUUUCAGCUAUAAUUAGUACUGUGGAGCAUGUAUAAUAGAAGAAGAUGCACGCUACUUUAAGGUCUAGGAUAUCAUGAAGUUGUGAUUUUAAUGGUAGUUGAAUAUCUGAAGUUAAGAAGCAACAGAACUGGGUUACUUUGUCACCCUCCCAGAGCCAAAAAGAGUUGUGAUUUUAAUGGUAGUUGAAUAAUUAUGAUAUCCGUAUUUAGGAGAUGAACUAUUCAUGGAAACAAAACUGUAUCAUAAAAAAGUAAGAGCCAAAAAGAGAAUGAUAGGGAUUCCUUACCACUGAAAGGAGGAUCGGGAGAGCCAUCGCUUCUCACAGCCGCAUUCGUCGUUAUCUCAGUGACUUACGGAUUAUAGAAUAAGGAAAAAAAGGAAAUGAUAACCCAAACUCCCGUUUCUGAAUUUGCAAGAAGAAAUAGGUGAGUGGAAGCUUAGUUCCUCACCUGACUUGAUUCUAGUGAACCUUUCAUGUCCGUGAUUUUUUUCGAAAAGGUCC
rnacentral:lncRNA from 1 species